rnacentral:rRNA from 1 species
GACGAACGCUGGCGGCGUGCCUAAUACAUGCAAGUCGAACGCUUUUUCUUUCACCGGAGCUUGCUCCACCGAAAGAAAGAGAGUGGCGAACGGGUGAGUAACACGUGGGUAACCUGCCCAUCAGAAGGGGAUAACACUUGGAAACAGGUGCUAAUACCGUAUAACACUAUUUUCCGCAUGGAAGAAAGUUGAAAGGCGCUUUUGCGUCACUGAUGGAUGGACCCGCGGUGCAUUAGCUAGUUGGUGAGGUAACGGCUCACCAAGGCAACGAUGCAUAGCCGACCUGAGGGGGUGAUCGGCCACACUGGGACUGAGACACGGCCCAGACUCCUACGGGAGGCAGCAGUAGGGAAUCUUCGGCAAUGGACGAAAGUCUGACCGGGCAACGCCGCGUGAGUGAAGAAGGUUUUCGGAUCGUAAAACUCUGUUGUUAGAGAAGAACAAGGAUGAGAGUAAAACGUUCAUCCCUUGACGGUAUCUAACCAGAAAGCCACGGCUAACUACGUGCCAGCAGCCGCCGUAA